UACGGGGGGGGCAAGCGUUGUUCGGAAUUACUGGGCGUAAAGGGCUCGUAGGCGGCCAACUAAGUCAAACGUGAAAUCCCUCGGCUUAACCGGGGAACUGCGUCUGAUACUGGAUGGCUUGAGUUUGGGAGAGGGAUGCGGAAUUCCAGGUGUAGCGGUGAAAUGCGUAGAUAUCUGGAGGAACACCGGUGGCGAAGGCGGCAUCCUGGACCAAUAUUGACGCUGAGGAGCGAAAGCUAGGGGAGCAAACAGG
rnacentral:rRNA from 1 species